GGAAUAUUGGUCAAUGGACGAAAGUCUGAACCAGCCAUGCCGCGUGGAGGAUGAAGGUCCUCUGGAUUGUAAACUUCUUUUAUAUGGGACGAAAAAGGGCUGUGUUAAGUCAACUGACGGUACCAUAUGAAUAAGCACCGGCUAACUCCGUGCCAGAAGCCGAGGUAAUACGGAGGGUGCAAGCGUUAUCCGGAUUCACUGGGUUUAAAGGGUGCGUAGGUGGGCUGGUAAGUCAGUGGUGAAAUCCCCGAGCUUAACUUGGGAACUGCCAUUGAUACUAUCAGUCUUGAAUGCCGUGGAGGUCAGCGGAAUAUGUCAUGUAGCGGUGAAAUGCUUAGAUAUGACAUAGAACACCAAUUGCGAAGGCAGCUGGCUACACGAAUAUUGACACUGAGGCACGAAAGCGUGGGGAUCAAAC
rnacentral:rRNA from 1 species